rnacentral:rRNA from 1 species
AUGGCAGGAUCUCGAUCGAGUGUUCAUGGAGAAAACCAUGGGGAAGAAGAUGCCCCGGUCACACAUGCCAAGCUGCUGCGACUCAAGAACAACUUACUCCAAGCCAUGGAAAGGAUGCUUCACAAGCAUCCUCCAGCAGGUGGUGAUAGGGUUCUGCACCGAUAA